rnacentral:misc_RNA from 1 species
GGAAGCCUAUUCAUAUAUCGAAGGGAGGUGCUGUUGUUUCUCAUUUAUUUUUUAUGGAUAGCAUAUGUUUUUUGGGAGGCCUCUAAUUCUCAAGUUAAGAUGACAAAAGGGAUUUUACAUAUUUUUGUGCUCGCUUGAGUUAGAAAGUAAGUUUGAAUAAGUGCCAAGUGUUCUUUUCUAAGAAUGUGGCUUUGAGAAAGAGGAAAG